AAGUCGUAACAAGGUUUCCGAAGGUGAACCUGCGGAAGGAUCAUUACUAGAUCGCUCGCCAGAUUUCUGGUUGAGCAAGAUCCAACCACCCUUGUAAACCGUUUCACAUAUUUGGUAGCUUAGCGGCCAUCCGGCCAUUUGGCCCGUUUGGACGCGUCCUGCCUAUCCCCUUUUUGGGGAUGGUAGGGAGUUACCGCAUUUUUAAACCCCAAGCAAUAUCACCUGACUGAAGUUUUGGUUAUCCUUUUUGAUAAUUUUUUAAACAACUUUUGGCAACGGAUCUCUUGGCUCUC
rnacentral:misc_RNA from 1 species